rnacentral:rRNA from 1 species
UACGAAGGGGGCGAGCGUUGUUCGGAAUCACUGGGCGUAAAGGGCGCGUAGGCGGCUCUGUUUGUCGCGUGUGAAAGCCCCGGGCUCAACCUGGGAGGUGCGCGCGAGACGGCGGGGCUGGAGUUCGGGAGAGGAGCGUGGAAUUCCCAGUGUAGAGGUGAAAUUCGUAGAUAUUGGGAAGAACACCGGUGGCGAAAGCGGCUCACUGGACCUCUUCUGACGCUGAGGCACGAAAGCUAGGUAG